rnacentral:tRNA from 1 species
AGUGGUAUAGCUCAGGUGGUAGAGCAAUGCUUAGCAUGCAGGAGGUCCUGGGUUCAAUCCCCAGUAUCUCUA